rnacentral:tRNA from 3 species
GGAGAGGUGGCUGAGUGGUCGAAAGCACCGCACUCGAAAUGCGGCAUACCUGCAAGGGUAUCGUGGGUUCAAAUCCCACCCUCUCCGCCA